ACGGGAGGCAGCAGUAGGGAAUCUUGCACAAUGGGCGAAAGCCUGAUGCAGCAACGCCGCGUGAGCGAUGAAGGCCCUUGGGUCGUAAAGCUCUGUCCUAUGGGAAGAUAAUGACGGUACCAUUGGAGGAAGCCCCGGCUAACUACGUGCCAGCAGCCGCGGUAAUACGUAGGGGGCAAGCGUUAUCCGGAAUCAUUGGGCGUAAAGAGUGCGUAGGUGGUCUUUUAAGCGUGGGGUUUAAGGCUACGGCUUAACCGUAGUUCGCCCCAUGAACUGGGAGACUUGAGUGCAGGAGGGGAAAGUGGAAUUCCUAGUGUAGCGGUGAAAUGCGUAGAUAUUAGGAGGAACACCAGUGGCGAAGGCGACUUUCUGGACUGUAACUGACACUGAGGCACGAAAGCGUGGGGAGCAAACAGGAUUAGAUACCCUGGUA
rnacentral:rRNA from 1 species